GUUUUAGUAUUUUAAUAAAAAUAAUGACUUUGUAAGUCAAGAUUAAAGCACAAGUCUUUCUAAAUCA
rnacentral:tRNA from 1 species